AGUCUCUGAGCGCAGCUGAGGGGAGUUGUGUCUCCUCAGGUACCGCCGGGGCUGCGGCUGGGACGCUGGGCUCAGCGUCUCUGCUGACAGGAGCUCGGUCUCCUCAGGACUCGCUGGGGUUUCGGCUUCAGGACAACGUGGGGCUGCGUCCACGCUCACGGGAGCUGGGUUUCCUGAGGACGCAGGCGACGCCGGCGGAUAAGGUGAUCCACAGGACCCACGACAUGGUAGCUACUAAUAUACUCUUCCCACAGUGCCUCUUAAUACCAUGUGGACUCCUACAAGGGAAAUAAGUAUCACAACUUUGGUUGAACGUGGUCUGGUCUCAGAUUUACCUGAUGGUCACCACUCACAGUUCCCGCAGAGCCCAGAGAUUUCUCCUUGAAGGAAAGGUUCUGGAAAAUCAGAGGGAUAAAUAAAGAAUGCAGCUGAUUCCCGCCUGUGCUGACGCCCAAGAGGAUGAGGAGAGCCACGAGGCAUGUGGGAUCUUAGCUCCCUGCCCAGGGAUCAAACUGGCAUCCUCUGCAUUGGAAGACGAAGUCUUAACCACUGGACUGCCAGGGAAGUCCCCACAUUCCUGUAUUGCUGAACUUGAAUUUCUGAGCUAUGUCAGACUCGGGAUGCCACUAGCCAUUCUCAAAACAAUGUCUGCUGGUAGCUGCAACUGUACGUUUUCAAGGACUCCUCUCUUAACUAUUAAAUUUUAAACAAUGACGUUAGAUCAGAUACUAAUAGAAAGAUGAGACAUAUGUGUAGUGGUCAAUAGCUCCUGUUAUGGAUAUGUUAAUACUACAUCAGAAGUUAAAACCUACUUAGGUAAAAUUAGACAACUGGCUACAAAGUCUCUCCGAAGUGCCAGUUCCAGACUGGGUUUCAGACUUAUUCUCCUGAAUUCCUAAGGAAAUGAGAUCUACUUUUACUAUUAAAGUUUCAGUUGUUACCCCUCCUAUUUUAACUGGGUUGGUUGCACCAAAAUGGCAGACCAAGGGAUUGAGAUCUUAAUCAUACGAGUCUCAGAUCCAGGACUUGGAACUCAAAUAUUUGUAAUUUGGUAUCCAUUCCCCCAGAUUUAGGCAGGACGACCCCCUGCCCCCAAUUUCAGCAGGAAGUAGCCAGAGCAGUCGUUGCCCCGUUGCCUGAAAGAUGUGGGGAAAGAUAAAACUGAAGUGGGGAUUAAAACUGAGUCCCCUUAAAACCGAGUUCCUGUGCCAAGUUUAUGAUUAAUGUCUCAAUCUGAAAUGAUUAUUCCUUUUCUUGUCAAAAAUCUGUUGUCCUAAAGAUUGAGGAGUGUCUAGAAGAGGAGGAGUUAAACUGAGCGGGACCUUGUGGGUCUCCUGGGCACAGAAGCCUUUCUGCGUGCCUCCGAAGUUGUUUGUAGGGAAUAGACUAGACACUCCAGGACCUUCCCUGAGUUCCAAAGGGCAGAUUCGAACAGUUGCUAAUCAGGGAAGGGAGGGGAUGCAGAGACAGGGAGGAACAGUCAAGAAACAAUAGUGCAGCCUUGAGGCAGGGUCCUGGUUCUGCCUCAAGGGAUACACAUAACAAUAUUUUUGAGCUCCUUAAGGAACUAAAACCCCCAACAAAUGGAAGAUGUUAGCAUUCUUCAUUCCAGAGAAGCUCAUCAAGAGACUAUCUGAGGCCAGAUUAAAGGAGUGCAGGCCCUGUAUACACCCUGAUCCUUAUCAGCAACCACACCCUUGAACCAUUGCUAUAAGACACCUCACCAAAUCCUCCUGCAUUGGGACUCACAGUUGUUGAGGGCACAAGCCUGCUAUGUCCUCCAUUGGCUGGCAGAGUGAUAAAACUAAUCUUUUCUAUUUCUUCCAAAACACUGUUCUUGAGAUUCGAUUCAAAACCGGUGCAGAGAGGCUGCUUAUUCAGUAUCAGUUAGGUACAGAGUCAGGCAGUUUGUUAGAAACAGUGUCAGGUCUUUAGUUAUGGAAAGCCUCAGGGAAUUAGGGAGGGACAGACCUAGAUAUUAUGGACAGCGUCAGAGCCUUAGUUAGGGAGAGUGUCAGGGCAUGACGUAGGACCAGCAUCAGGACCGUAGUUAGGAUCAGCAUCAGGGUCUUAGUUAAAGACAUUGCCAGGACCUGAGUUAGGCACAGCAUCAGGGCCUCCAUUAGGGACAGGGUCAGUGCUUGAGUUAGGGACAGCCUCAGGACCUGAGUUAGUGAUGGCCUCAGGGCUUACUUAGGGACAGUGUUCCGGACUUUGGUGAGAGUUGCCUCAUGACAUUACCUAAGGGUAGUGUCAGGACUUUAGUUAUUGACGGCAUCAGGGCCUAUGUUAGGGACAGCUUCAGGGCCUUAGUUAGGACCAGUGUCAGGGCUUGAGUUAGGGACAACAUCAGGGCUUGAGUCAGGGACAACAUCAGGGCCUGAGUUAGGGACAGCAUCAGGGCCUGAGUUAGGGACAGCAUCAUGGCCUCUGUUAGGGGACAGCAUCAGGGUCUUAGUUAAAGACAUUGUCAGGUCCUGAGUUAGGCACAGUGUGAGGGUUUACUUAGGAACAGUGACAGGACCUUGGUAAGAGAUGCGUCCCGGCAUUAGCUAAGGAUAGUGUCAGGACCUUAGUUACUGACAGUACCAGGGCCUAUGUUAGAAACAGCUUCAGGGCCUUAGUUAGGACCAGUGUCAGGGUCUUAGUUAAAGACAUUGUCAGGGUCUGAGUUAGGCACAGUGUGAGGGCUUACGUAGGGACAUUGACAGGACAUUGGUAAGAGAUGUGUCAGGACAUUAGCUAAGGAUAGUGUCAGGACCUUAGUUAUUGAAGGCACCAGGGCCUAUGUUAGGACCAGCUUCAGGGCCUUACUUAGGGACAGCGUCAGGACCUUAGUUCAGAACAUCAACAGGGCUUAAAGCACAGCGUCGGGGCCUUACUUAGGGACAAUGUCAGGGCCUAGUUAGGACUAGCGUCAGGGCCUUAGUUAGGGACAGCAGCAGGGUCUUAAUUAAAGACAUUGUCAGGGCCUGAGUUAGGGACUGUCAGGGCCUGAGUCAUGGACAGCUUCAAAGCCUCAGUUAGGGACAGCGUCAGGACCUUGGUAAGAGAUGCGUCAGGAUAUUAGGUAAGGAUAGUGUCAGGACUUUAGUUAUUGACAGCAUCAGGGCCAAUGUUAGGGACAGCUUCAGGGCCUUAGGACCAGUAUCAGAGCCUGAGUUAGGCCUAGCAUCAGGGUUUGCGUUAGGACUAGCAUUAAGGCCUUAGGUAGGGACAGUGGCAGGGCCUGAGUUAGGAGUAGCUUCAGGGCCUUUGUUAGGGAAAGCAUCAGGGCUUUUGUUAGGAUCAGAGUCAUGACAUUAGCUAGGGACAGAGUCUGGGAAAGAGCUAGGGAUAGUGUCAGGAAGUGAGCUAGGAAUAGUGUCAAGAUGUUAGUUAUUGAGAGCAUCAGGGCCUGAGUUAGGACCAGCAUCAGGGCUUGAGGUAGGGACAGAGUCAGAGCCUGAGUUAGGGACAGCCUCAGGGCCUGUGUUAGGUACAGCAUCAGGGCCUCACUUUGGGACGGCAUCAGGACUUUAUUAGGGACAGUGUAAGGACCUUGGUAAAAGAUGCAUCAGGACAUUAGCUAACGAUAGUGUUGGGACUUUGUGACAACAGCAGGGCCUAUGUUAGGGACAGUCUCAGGACCUUAUAGGGACAGCGUCAGGGCAUGAGUUAGGACUAGUGUCAGGGCCUGAGUUAGGACUAGCAUCAAGGCUUUAGUUAGGGACAGUGUCAGGGCCUGAGUUAGGACUAGCAUAAGGGCCAUAUUUAGGGACAGCAUCAGGGCUUUAGUUAGGAUAAGAAGCAGGACAUUAGCUAGGGACAGCAUCAGGUUAAGGGCUAGGGAUAGUGUCAAGACCUUAGUUAUUGAGAGCAUCAGGGCCUUAAUUAGGACCAGCGACAGGGCUGAUGUAGGGACAGUGUCAGAGCCUGACUUAGGGAGAGCAACAGGGCCUGAUUUAGGGACUUUGUCAGAGCCUGGGUUAGGGACCAUGUCAGAACCUGAGUGAAGCCGAGUGUCAGGGCCUGAGUUAAAACUAGCAUCAAGGCCUUCGUUAGGGACAGUGUCAGGGCAUGUCAUAGGAGCAGCAUCAGGGCCUUUUUAAGGAUCAGCAUCAGGGUCUUAGUUAAAGACAUUAUCAGGGCCUCAGUUAGGGACAGCUUAAGGGCCUGUGUUAGGUACAGAGUCAGGACCUCUAUUAGGAACCUCCUCAGGGCCGUACCUAGGGACAGCGUGAGGGCUUACUUAGGGACAGUGUCAGGACCUUGGUAAGAGAUGGGUCAGGAUAUACGCCCAGGAUAGUGUCAGGACUUUAGUUAUGAUGGCAGCAGGUCUUUUGUUAGUGACGGCUUCAGGGCCUUAGUUAGGGACAGUGUCAGGGCCUGAGUUAGGAGUAGCAUCAAGGCCUUAGUUAGGGACAGUAUCAGGGCAUGACUUAGGAGCAGCAUCAGGGCUUUCAUAGGAUCAGCAUUAGGGUCUUAGUUAAAGACAUCAUCAGGGCCUGAGUUAGGCACAGCGUCAGGGCCUCAGUUAGGGAUAGCUUCAGGGCCUGUUAGGGACAGCGUCAGGGCUUACUUAGGGACAAUAUCAGGACCUUGGUUAGAGAUGGGUCAGGAUAUUAGCUCAGGAUAGUGUCAGGAAUUUAGUUAUUGCCGGCAGCAGGGCCUAUAUUAGGGAUAGCUUCCAGGCUUAGUUAGAGACAGUGUCAGGGCCUUAGUUAGGACUAGGCAGGGCCUGAGUUAGGAGUAGCAUCAGGGCCUUAGUUAGGGACAGUUCAGACAAAAAUAAAGAUACUCAUUUGUGGACAACAUGAAUGUUUACACCUUUCAGUGACUCAUCUUUGCCAUCCUUCCAAAAGCUCGCUACAUUUAAGAAAUGUUAGCUACAUUGUCAUAGUUAUGUAAAAGGUAACUAAGAUUAAGAGAUCAGAUGCAGAGUUGGUGUGGGGAGGAAUGAUGCCUAUGUACGGAUGGUCACAUUUUUAAGUGGAAGAAUUAAAAAGGGGAACUGUAACUUUCACGUCUUAUCCAAACAGAGGUUUCUGCUGACAUCAAUAGAACUCUUAUUUUACCAGCAAUGCAGUUGAGCACAUAUACUAACACUAAAAGGGUUAUAUUGUAUUUUACUCAGUUGAAAGGAAAAAGGGGACAGCACUGCUUCGCACCCGUUAACAAUGUGAUAUCAAAAUGGAAACACGUCUUUUAGGAUGAAAUCUAAUAAAUAAUUGAGAACCAC